rnacentral:lncRNA from 1 species
AAAAAAUUAUUAUUAAUAACGUUGAUAAUAAUGACUAUUUUACAAUUGUUCACAUGCGAUUUGAAUUUUUUUCUUAUGUUCUCACUAAUGAAAAUUGUAGUUUUAUAAACUACUUUGACUAGCUUAUGAAUAAUAUAUAAAAAUCUUAUUUAUUUGUAUAAACUAUUUUGCAUAAACUCAAAAAUAAAACGAACCCUAUACAGACAAUCUUAUGAAUAAUAUUUAAAAGUUUACUUAUUUUACCUAAGUUGUUUUUCAUAAACUUAAAAAUAAGUCAAUUCAAACGGUUGACAUUAUUUAUAUUUUUUUUUGUAGAUACAUAUGACAUUGUUUAUAACCUUGUAAAAAAAAUUGUUUAUGACUAUACAGGCCGUAAUUAGAAUGAGGCCGUGUAAGAAAAAGCUCAUGACAAAUGGGUAGGAAACCCUAAACAUACAAUUUUUAUAGAAAAAGUUGUUUGUGGCUGCCGUUGCACUCUGUUCUUCUUCUUCUACUACUUUUUUCAUUCUUUAUACAACUCUGUUCCUCUUCGUCUUCUUUCGUUUUUUACUUUGCUUGCAUCUUUGUGAGUGCAGAUGAUCUUCUUUUCUUCUCUUGGUCUCUUGGGUAGGGGUGAAUAAUCAAAAUCUCAGGGGGUGCAAAUUGCAAAAAAAAAUUGAUUAUAUGUGUAAUUUUCAGAAGUUCAGGGUGUGUAGCUGCACACCCUCACAUAGACGUAGAUCCGCUCCUGAGGUUGGAUACCAAGUUUUCAAAAAAAAAAGAGGUUAGGUACAAACUUAAUUUUGGUGUUCAAGCAAGGGAUUUAAAAUUCUCUACAACCUUUAUAAGUGAACUCAUAACCUAAACAAAUUCCUUUUACAGAAAUCUCAUUACCCAACUUAAUAUUGUAUCAUUAUUAUGACAUAAAUAUAAAAUUAUAGGCUCAGAACUUAUAACAUGAAAAUUAAUUUUCAACUUAACCAGAAAAAAAUUUGAUAUGUGUGAAUGGAUACAAGAUGAUAUCUCAAAGUUAAGAU